CAAUAAAUUUUUAAUUUUAAUAAAAUAAACUAUAUUUAAACAGAACUUAUAUCUCUAAAGUUUUAAGUUUAACACUGCCAUCCACUCAAAAUUUUUACAGAUUGUAUUGCUCGUAUCUUUACAAGAGAUGAUCUAUAUCUUUACAAGAGAUAUUCUACAUCUAUCAUAACCGUGGUUUUUUGACACAACCAUAAAAUUACUCAUCUCCACCUGGGCCACGCUCAUGCCUCUUAAACAAUGAGGCCCGAAUCCAAUUUUCAUUUAAAAUCCAAACAGCUUUACUUGCUACUUACACACAAAAUCAAACAUAUUACGCCCAAAGUCUGUACACACCCCUUCGCAGCUUUUUGACACCCAAUUUGUGAGUCCCGUGCGGUGCGGUAGGGACACACGCAUUGACUCACAUUUCCAAGUUUGCUUAAUAGCUUGGGCCUCUUUUUGAGCCCAUGAAAGAAAAUGAGUCCAUGUUCCAUUAUAUAAGCAGCAUUUUAGGUUAAAGUGCUUUACAAUUUUUGUUGAGAGAAAGGAAGCGGCGGCAGCCUAUGAUGUGGAGAAAUGCUUGUGCAUCUUUACCCACCAGAUCUAUGAUUUGGAAGCCAAGAAAAAAAGAAAAGAAAGAGAUUUGGAAGCAAGCAGACGAAAAGAAGAAUGAGGAUGGAUGGAUUUGCAUGCAGACGAAAAGAAGAAUGAGGGUGUAUGGAUUUGCAUAGAAGAAAUUAUGAUGCUAGUUGAUGAUAAUUGUUUGUAAAAUUGUAAUAAAAAUAUUUAGUUUGAUCUAUGAAAGUGUUCAUAAGUUUCAUGAUUUGUUCAUCAAUGGAUAUUGUAAGACAAAGAAUUUUUGUUCAUUACUGAUUGCUCUAUCAAACGGGCCUUAGCCUCUCUCAA